UAUUUUUAUAGUGUAUAUAACACAUAACAUUUUCAUUGUUAACAAGUAACUACUAAAAAUAU
rnacentral:tRNA from 1 species